GUAUUUUUAGUAGAGACGGAGUUUCACCAUGUUGGCCAGGAUGGUCUUCAACUUCUAACUUCGUGAUCCACGCUGCUGGGAUUACAGGUGUGAGCCACCGCGUGUGGCCUCUGGGCACCUUUUGAAGGUAGCUGAAGCAGAGAGAGAAGGCGGCAGGCAUCAGCGUUUUCUUCUAUGAACUUAUAAGAUCAAAGACUUUAAGACUUUCACUAUUUCUUCUACCGCUAUCUACUACGAACUUCAAAGAGGAACCAGGAGUACGGAAGGAGCAUGAAAGUGGACAAGGAACGUGACCAUUGAAGCACCACAGGGAGGGGUUCAGGCCUCCGGAUGACUGCAGGCAGGCCUGGGUAACAUCCAGCCUCCCACAAGAAGCUGGUGGAGCAGAGCGUUCCCUGACUCCUCCAAGGAAAGGAGACUCCCUUUCCCGGUCUGCUCAGUAACGGGUGCCUUCCCAGACACUGGCGUUACCGCUUGACCAAGGGGCCCUCAAGCGGCCCUUAUGCGGGCAUGACAGAAGGCUCCCCUCUUGCCUUCUAUUCACUUCUCACAAUGUCCCUUCAGCACCUGACCCUAUACCUGCCGGUUAUUCCUAGGUUAUAUUAUUAAUGCAACAGAGUAAUAUUAAAAGCUAAUGAUUAAUAAUGUUUAUAAUAAUGAUGGAUAAUUGUUCAUGAUCAUCGCUGUAUCUAAUUUGUAUUAUGACUAUUCUUAUUCUAUUUUCUUUAUUAUACUGAAACAGUUUGUGCCU
rnacentral:lncRNA from 1 species